GACGAACGCUGGCGGCGUGCUUAACACAUGCAAGUCGAACGGAAAGGCCCUGCUUUUGUGGGGUGCUCGAGUGGCGAACGGGUGAGUAACACGUGAGUAACCUGCCCUUGACUUUGGGAUAACUUCAGGAAACUGGGGCUAAUACCGGAUAGGAGCUCCUGCUGCAUGGUGGGGGUUGGAAAGUUUCGGCGGUUGGGGAUGGACUCGCGGCUUAUCAGCUUGUUGGUGGGGUAGUGGCUUACCAAGGCUUUGACGGGUAGCCGGCCUGAGAGGGUGACCGGCCACAUUGCUACUGAGAUACGGCCCAGACUCCUACGGGAGGCAGCAGUGGGGAAUAUUGCACAAUGGCCGGAAGCCUGAUGCAGCAACGCCGCGUGCGGGAUGACGGCCUUCGGGUUGUAAACCGCUUUCGCCUGUGACGAAGCGUGAGUGACGGUAAUGGGUAAAGAAGCACCGGCUAACUACGUG
rnacentral:rRNA from 1 species